AGUGAACGCUGGCGGUAGGCCUAACACAUGCAAGUCGAACGGCAGCACAGUAAGAGCUUGCUCUUACGGGUGGCGAGUGGCGGACAGGUGAGGAAUACAUCGGAAUCUACUUUUUCGUGGGGGAUAACGUAGGGAAACUUACGCUAAUACCGCAUACGACCUACGGGUGAAAGCAGGGGAUCUUCGGACCUUGCGCGAUUGAAUGAGCCGAUGUCGGAUUAGCUAGUUGGCGGGGUAAAGGCCCACCAAGGCGACGAUCCGUAGCUGGUCUGAGAGGAUGAUCAGCCACACUGGAACUGAGACACGGUCCAGACUCCUACGGGAGGCAGCAGUGGGGAAUAUUGGACAAUGGGCGCAGGCCUGAUCCAGCCAUACCGCGUGGGUGAAGAAGGCCUUCGGGUUGUAAAGCCCUUUUGUUGGGAAAGAAAAGCAGCAGGUUAAUACCCCGCUGUUCUGACGGUACCCAAAGAAUAAGCACCGGCUAACUUCGUG
rnacentral:rRNA from 1 species